rnacentral:rRNA from 1 species
CCUACGGGUGGCUGCAGUGGGGAAUAUUGGACAAUGGGCGAAAGCCUGAUCCAGCCAUGCCGCGUGUGUGAAGAAGGCCUUCGGGUUGUAAAGCACUUUCAGUGGGGAAGAAAGCCUUGGGGCUAAUACCCUCGAGGAAGGACAUCACCCACAGAAGAAGUACCGGCUAACUCCGUGCCAGCAGCCGCGGUAAUACGGAGGGUGCGAGCGUUAAUCGGAAUUACUGGGCGUAAAGCGCGCGUAGGCGGUCUGAUAAGCCGGUUGUGAAAGCCCCGGGCUCAACCUGGGAACGGCAUCCGGAACUGUCAGGCUAGAGUGCAGGAGAGGAAGGUAGAAUUCCCGGUGUAGCGGUGAAAUGCGUAGAGAUCGGGAGGAAUACCAGUGGCGAAGGCGGCCUUCUGGACUGACACUGACGCUGAGGUGCGAAAGCGUGGGUAGCAAACAGGAUUAGAUACCCUGGUAGUC